GACGAACGCUGGCGGCGUGCUUAACACAUGCAAGUCGAACGAAGUGGCGAACGGGUGAGUAACGCGUAAUCAACCUGACCUUCAGAGGGGGACAAAAGUUGGAAACGACUGCUAAUACCGCAUACUGAAGGAGGGUGUUGCGUCUGAGUAGCUAGUUGGAGGGGUGAGGGCCCCCAAAGGCGAUGAUCAGUAGCCUGUCUGGUAUGAUGAACGGCCACAUUGGGACUGAGACACGGCCCAGACUCCUACGGGAGGCAGCAGUGGGGAUUCUUCCGCAAUGGACGAAAGUCUGACGGAGCAACGCCGCGUGAGUGAUGACGGCCUUCGGGUUGUAAGGCUCUGUUAAUCGGGACGCGGUACCGGAAUAGAAAGCCACGGCUAACUACGUGCCAGCAGCCGCGGUAAUUC
rnacentral:rRNA from 1 species